UGAUGAAGACCAUGUGGAGUCAAGAUGCUGAGCUGGAGUCUUGUAGACUUGGAGAGUAAGAGAGUAUCUUGGAGAUAAGGAAAGAGGAAUAAACUUGAUGAGCAAGUUUAUGACUUAAAGGAAGAGGAAUAAGUGCAUUCCAAGAAAAGGAAAGUUGCACUUAAUGUUAUGGAAGAUGUCAUAUCCAUGUUGCCGUGGAGACUAGGGUUUCAGGAACGUGGAGAAUAAUAUAAGAUAGCUAUGAGUCGUCUGUAAAGAGACAGAGACACAGAGGCUGAUCUUAUAGAGAGAGAGAAGCUCUUGGAAGUGUUCUGGGGUCGUGCUGAAGCAGUGGCUGAAGUACUUGACGGUAUAGAGACAUAAGCGUGUAGCUUAGGAAUCUUUCAAUGUCGUGUGUUAGGGUGUUAACACUAGACGAGUAAAGCUAAAUAAACAAGGUCUUGUAAAGAUUGUUUAAAGGAGAUUCUAAUAAAAGCUUUGGUGUUUGCUUGUGUAUUUGUCUCUUGAUUUAUCUUCUGCAUUACUAUAUUGUGGUGUCAUCUUGCACUAACAUUGUUUAUUAGUUUUCCAGGCAAUGAGAGAUGAUCCGACGAACAUACAUAAUCAAGAGACAGUACGACGUGUAUCAGGACACAAAUUCCAAUCUACAUCAGAAAAGGCAGAUAAUUUAAAAUCUGAACAAGC
rnacentral:lncRNA from 1 species